CGGUAGCGGCGGACGGGUGAGUAACACGUGGGUAAUCUGCCCAACUGACUGGAAUAACGCCUGGAAACGGGUGCUAAUGCCGGAUAGGCAACUGGUAGGCAUCUACCGGUUGGGAAAGGUGCAACUGCACCGCAGAUGGAGGAGCCCGCGGCGCAUUAGCUAGUUGGUGGGGUAACGGCCUACCAAGGCGACGAUGCGUAGCCGACCUGAGAGGGUGGACGGCCACACUGGGACUGAGACACGGCCCAGACUCCUACGGGAGGCAGCAGUAGGGAAUCUUCCGCAAUGGGCGCAAGCCUGACGGAGCAACGCCGCGUGAGCGAAGAAGGCCUUCGGGUUGUAAAGCUCAGUCACUCGGGAAGAGCGGACGAGGGAGUGGAAAGCCCUCGUCGAGACGGUACCGAGAGAGGAAGCCCCGGCUAACUACGUG
rnacentral:rRNA from 1 species